CGGAGGAAAAGAAACUAACCAGGAUUCCCCUAGUAACUGCGAGUGAAGCGGGAAAAGCUCAAAUUUAAAAUCUGGCGGUCUCCGGCCGUCCGAGUUGUAAUUUAGAGAAGUGUUAUCCGCGCUGGACCGUGUACAAGUCUCCUGGAAUGGAGCGUCAUAGAGGGUGAGAAUNCCNNCUUCGACACGGACCCCCAGGGCUUUGUGAUGCGCUCUCGAAGAGUCGAGUUGUUUGGGAAUGCAGCUCAAAAUGGGUGGUAAAUUCCAUCUAAAGCUAAAUAUUGGCGAGAGACCGAUAGCGAACAAGUACCGUGAGGGAAAGAUGAAAAGAACUUUGGAAAGAGAGUUAAACAGUACGUGAAAUUGUUGAAAGGGAAACGCUUGAAGUCAGUCGCGUUGGCCGGGGAUCAACCUUGCAUUCGUGCUUGGCGUACUUCCCGGUCGACGGGUCAGCAUCAAUUUUGACCGCUGGAUAAAGGUCAGGGGAAUGUGGCAUCUUCGGAUGUGUUAUACGCUCUGGCGCAUACAGCGGUUGGGAUUGAGGAACUCAGCACGCCGCAAGGCCGGGUUUUUAACCACGUGCUUAGGAUGCUGGCAUAAUGGCUUUAAUCGACCCGUCUUGAAACACGGACCAAGGAGUCUAACAUGCCCGCGAGUGUUUGGGUGGAAAACCCGAGCGCGUAAUGAAAGUGAAAGUUGAGAUCUCUGUCGUGGAGAGCAUCGACGCCCGGACCAGACCUUCUGUGACGGAUCCGCGGUAGAGCGUGUAUGUUGGGACCCGAAAGAUGGUGAACUAUGCCUGAAUAGGGUGAAGCCAGAGGAAACUCUGGUGGAGGCUCGUAGCGAUUCUGACAGUGCAAAUCNAUCGUCGAAUUUGGGUAUAGGGGCGAAA
rnacentral:rRNA from 1 species